rnacentral:sRNA from 1 species
UGCGAGCGAGCACCCAGGCCCCGCCGCCCGGCUGUCGCCGCCCGCCUGCCGCCGCCCGCCUCCGCCUGCCUUCCGCCGCCGGCCGGCGCGUCGUCCCCACAGAUUGCUCAUUUAGAAAGUGGAUGUGUGGGAUAACAUGUCCAGUGUGUCCGAGGAGAGAAGAAAAAGGCAGCAGAACAUUAAGGAAGGACUGCAGUUUAUACAGUCACCGCUGUCAUAUCCAGGAACACAGGAGCAAUAUGCGGUAUAUUUGCGUGCUCUCGUGAGAAAUCUUUUUAAUGAAGGAAAUGACGUUUAUCGGGAACGUGAUUGGAACAACUCAAUAAGCCAGUACACGGAAGCUUUGAAUAUAGCUGAUUAUGCAAAAUCUGAAGAAAUUUUAAUCCCCAAAGAAAUAAUUGAAAAACUAUAUAUAAAUCGUAUUGCCUGCUAUUCUAAUAUGGGUUUCCAUGAUAAAGUUUUGGAGGACUGCAAUAUAGUCCUCAGUUUAAAUGCCAGUAACUGCAAAGCUCUGUAUCGGAAAUCUAAGGCUUUAAGUGAUUUAGGAAGAUACAAAAAGGCUUAUGAUGCUGUAGCAAAGUGCUCCUUAGCAGUGCCUCAGGAUGAGCAUGUAAUAAAACUAACUCAAGAACUAGCUCAGAAAUUGGGAUUUAAAAUAAGAAAAGCGUAUGUCAGAGCUGAGCUCUCAUUAAAAUCAGUUCCUGGAGAUGGGGCUACCAAGGAUGCUAAUGGCUAUUGUGAGUUGGGCAAUGAAUGGUGGCCAAAUUAGUCCCUGUUAUUCUGCUGAAUGGCCUUUGAGAAAUGCUGGUCCACAAGAAAUAAGUGGC